AGCAGCCGCCGCGGUAACACGUAGGUGGCAAGCGUUAUCCGGAAUUAUUGGGCGCAAAGCGCGCGUAGGCGGUUUUUUAAGUCUGAUGUGAAAGCCCACGGCUCAACCGUGGAGGGUCAUUGGAAACUGGAAAACUUGAGUGCAGAAGAGGAAAGUGGAAUUCCAUGUGUAGCGGUGAAAUGCGCAGAGAUAUGGAGGAACACCAGUGGCGAAGGCGACUUUCUGGUCUGUAACUGACGCUGAUGUGCGAAAGCGUGGGGAUCAAACAGGAUUAGAUACCCCGUAGUCCCUGUCUCUUAUACA
rnacentral:rRNA from 1 species